GCCACUGCUAUCGGAGUUCGAUUAAGCCAUGCGAGUCGAGAGGUGUAAGACCUCGGCAUACUGCUCAGUAACACGUGGACAACCUACCCUGAAGUGAGGGAUAAUCCCGGGAAACUGGGGAUAAUAUCUCAUAGACUAUGGAUGCUGGAAUGCUCUGUAGUUCAAAGGUCCGCCGCUUCAGGAUGGGUCUGCGGCCGAUUAGGUUGUUGUUGGGGUAACGGCCCAACAAGCCUGUAAUCGGUACGGGUUGUGGGAGCAAGAGCCCGGAGAUGGAUUCUGAGACACGAAUCCAGGCCCUACGGGGCGCAGCAGGCGCGAAAACUUUGCAAUGCGAGAAAUCGUGACAAGGGAACUCCGAGUGCCUGUAAAAUCAGGCUGUCCGCCAGUGUAAAUCACUGGCGAAGAAAGGGCCGGGCAAGACCGGUGCCAGCCG
rnacentral:rRNA from 1 species